rnacentral:rRNA from 1 species
GACGAACGCUGGCGGCGUGCUUAACACAUGCAAGUCGAACGGAAAGGCCCUGCUUUUGUGGGGUGCUCGAGUGGCGAACGGGUGAGUAACAAGUGAGUAACCUGCCCUUGACUUUGGGAUAACUUCAGGAAACUGGGGCUAAUAACGGAUAGGAGCUCCUGCUGCAUGGUGGGGGUUGGAAAGUUUCGGCGGUUGGGGAUGGACUCGCGGCUUAUCAGCUUGUUGGUGGGGUAGUGGCUUACCAAGGCUUUGACGGGUAGCCGGCCUGAGAGGGUGACCGGCCACAUUGGGACUGAGAUACGGCCCAGACUCCUACGGGAGGCAGCAGUGGGGAAUAUUGCACAAUGGGCGGAAGCCUGAUGCAGCAACGUCGCGUGCGGGAUGACGGCCUUCGGGUUGUAAACCGCUUUCGCCUGUGACGAAGCGUGAGUGACGGUAAUGUGUAAAGAAGCACCGGCUAACUACGUG